AAUAGAUACCCAGGUAGUCCACGCCGUAAACGAUGGAUACUAGCUGUUUGAGCGCAAGUUUGAGUGGCUAAGCGAAAGUGAUAAGUAUCCCACCUGGGGAGUACGGGCGCAAGCCUGAAACUCAAAGGAAUUGACGGGGGCCCGCACAAGCGGUGGAGCAUGUGGUUUAAUUCGAUGAUACGCGAGGAACCUUACCAGGGCUUAAAUGUAGAUUGACGUAUUUGGAAACAGAUAUUUCUUCGGACAAUUUACAAGGUGCUGCAUGGUUGUCGUCAGCUCGUGCCGUGAGGUGUCAGGUUAAGUCCUAUAACGAGCGCAACCCCUGUUGUUAGUUGCCAGCGAGUAAUGUCGGGAACUCUAGCAAGACUGCCAGUGUAAACUGUGAGGAAGGUGGGGAUGACGUCAAAUCAUCACGGCCCUUACGUCCUGGGCCACACACGUGCUACAAUGGCCGGUACAGAGGGCAGCCACUUAGCGAUAAGGAGCGAAUCUAUAAAGCCGGUCACAGUUCGGAUCGGAGUCUGCAAC
rnacentral:rRNA from 1 species